GUAAGGCCUAACAUCAUGAAAUGAAACCAAAACAAUGUCAAAGCCCUGCAAGAAUGAUGGAGUCCCAUCCAUCACUUAAGAAGAGAAGCUGAGAGCAAAUGUAAAGCCUUCAGAACACUGGAACAGCUGAAACAACUGACAUCCUCUGAAAUGAAUAGAAAUGAUAUAUGUUGAAAAAAGCAGAGAGCAGUAAGCAGCAGGAGAAUGAUAAAUAAUGGUUACAUUUCCUGUGUUAGAAAAGUGAACAAACAAACAAACAAACAAACAAACCAUGGAUAAAAUGGACCAUAGGAUCUUUAAGGUUGGAAAAGACCACUAUGAUCAUCUAGUCUAAUCACCAACACAACCCACCCACUUGGUGGAAGACUAAAAAACAGAAGCGAAAGUGAAAUUGUCAACUAAAUAAGCUUCCUCUGAGCACUGUUGAUGCUGCCGAGUUUUAAACAAAAACGUGUACAGAAAAGGGUUUUAUCAAGAGAUUAUUUAGAUGCUCCAUGUCAUCGAUCAGAUCUGUUUUACCACCAGCUGGAGCCAAUUUUGGACCCACUACACUACCCUCUUUCAUCUCAGCAGUGCCCCUGCACACAUGCUGUUGCAGGACCACCCCAGGAGAGCAACCUGAUGGAGAAAAGCCAGAAGGCCCCAGCAAGCAGCUUCCCAGCCAAAUGGCCUUGGUGGUGUGUGAGCAUCCCACUGUGUAGCUAUUUGACAACAAUCAGUUGCUCACAGGUGGUAAUUUCAGCAGUGAAUUGUG
ensembl:lncRNA